GAUGAACGCUGGCGGCGUGCCUAAUACAUGCAAGUCGAGCGAACGGAUCAGAAGUUUGCUUCUCUGAUGUUAGCGGCCGACGGAAUAGUAACACGUGGUUAACCUACCUAUAAGACUGUGAUAACUUCGGCAAACCAGAGCUACUACCGGAUGAUAUUUUGCACCGCAUUGUUCACACGUGAAAGACGGUCUUGCUUUCACUUAUAGAUUGAUACGCCCUGCAUUAGCUAGUUGGUAAGGUAACGGCUUACCAAGGCAACGAUGCAUAGCCGACCUGAGCGGGUGGUCGGCCAGCUGGGAACAGAGACACGGUCCAGACACCUACACGAGGCAGCAGUAGGGAAUCUUACGGGAUGGGCGAAAGCCUGACGGAGCAACGCGGCGGGAAGGAUGAUGGUCUUCGGAUCGGAGAACUCUGUAAGUAGGGGAGAACAAAUGUGUAAGUAACUGUGCACAUCUUGACGGUACCUAAACAGAAAGCCACGGCUAACUACGUG
rnacentral:rRNA from 1 species